rfam:Picea glauca, whole genome shotgun sequence.
ACAUGCCUACACCAUAGUGUUAAUUCAUUGGAUCCCAUUAGAAAUAUGCAGUUAAGCACGCUUAGGCUAGAGUAGUAAUGGGAUGGGUGAACGCUCAGGACGUCCUAGUGUUUUACAUGCC